AGAGUUUGAUCAUGGCUCAGAAUGAACGUUGGCGGUGCGCCUAACACAUGCAAGUCGAGCGGAAGUAAUUCAGCGGCGGACGGGUGAGUAACGCGUGGGGAAUCUGCCCUUUAGUGAGGAAUACCUUCGAGAAAUCGAAGUUAAUACUGCAUAUGUCCCCCUCGGGGAGAAAGAUGGCCUCUUUGCUGUCGCUAAAGGAUGAGCCUGCGUACUAUUAGCUAGUUGGUAGGGGUAAUGGCCUACCNGGCGAUGAUGGUUAGCCGGCCUGAGAGGGGUGAUCGGCCACAUUGGAACUGAGACACGGUCCCAGACUCCUACGGGAGGCAGCAGUGAGGAAUAUUGCGCAAUGGGCGAAAGCCUGACGCAGCGACACCGCGUGAAGGAUGAAGGCCUUAGGGUCGUAAACUUCUGUUAAGUGGGAAGAAAGCGCCAGUCUUAAUACGGCUGGAAGAUGACGGUACCACUAGAGAAAGCACCGGCUAACUUCGUGCCAGCAGCCGCGGUAAGACGAGGGGUGCAAACGUUAUUCGGAAUGAUUGGGCGUAAAGGGUGCGUAGGCGGUUUAUUAAGUCAACUGUUAAAUUUCUCAGCUUAACUGGGAGUGUGCGGUAGAAACUGAUAAGCUUGAGGGUGGAAGAGAGAAAGUGGAAUUCUCGGAGUAGCGGUAAAAUGCGUAGAUCUCGAGAGGAACACCGAUGGCGAAGGCAGCUUCUUGGUCCAUACCUGACGUUGAGGCACGAAAGCGUGGGGAGCAAACAGGAUUAGAUACCCUAGUAGUCC
rnacentral:rRNA from 1 species